GACGAACGCUGGCGGCGUGCCUAAUACAUGCAAGUCGAACGCAGUGGGGACGGGUGAGUAACACGUGGGUAACCUCCCAUCAGAGGGGAUAACACUUGGAAACAGGUGCUAAACCGAUACUGAUGGAUGGACCCGCGGUGCAUUAGCUAGUUGGUGAGGUAACGGCUCACCAAGGCCACGAUGCCUAGCCGGUCUGAGAGGAUGACCAGCCACACUGGAACUGAGACACGGUCCAGACUCCUACGGGAGGCAGCAGUGGGGAAUAUUGCGCAAUGGGCGAAAGCCUGAUGGAGCCAUGCCGCGUGUGUGAAGAAGGCCUUCGGGUUGUAAAGCACUUUCAGCGGGGAGGCGUUAUCCACACAAGAAGCACCGGCUAACUCCGUGCCAGCAGCCGCGGUAAUAC
rnacentral:rRNA from 1 species